rnacentral:rRNA from 1 species
AGGGUUUGAUUAUGGCUCAGGAUGAACGCUAGCUACAGGCCUAACACAUGCAAGUCGAGGGGCAUCGCGUGCCGGAUUUCGGUCCGGCACGGCGGCGACCGGCGCACGGGUGAGUAACGCGUACCCUACCUUCCCCUUUCCCGGGGCCAGCCCUGCGAAAGCAGGAUUAAUCCCCGGCGGUGUCCCGGGUCCGCAUGGGCGCGGGACCAAAGGAGCGAUCCGGAAAGGGAUGGGGGUGCGUUCCAUUAGCUUGACGGCGGGGUAACGGCCCACCGUGGCCGCGAUGGAUAGGGGUUCUGAGAGGAAGGCCCCCCACACUGGGACUGAGACACGGCCCAG